GAUGAACGCUGGCGGCGUGCCUAAUACAUGCAAGUCGAGCGAAUGGAUUAAGAGCUUGCUCUUAUGAAGUUAGCGGCGGACGGGUGAGUAACACGUGGGUAACCUGCCCAUAAGACUGGGAUAACUCCGGGAAACUGGGGCUAAUACCGGAUAACAUUUUGAACCGCAUGGUUCGAAAUUGAAAGGCGGCUUCGGCUGUCACUUAUGGAUGGACCCGCGUCGCAUUAGCUAGUUGGUGAGGUAACGGCUCACCAAGGCAACGAUGCGUAGCCGACCUGAGAGGGUGAUCGGCCACACUGGGACUGAGACACGGCCCAGACUCCUACGGGAGGCAGCAGUAGGGAAUCUUCCGCAAUGGACGAAAGUCUGACGGAGCAACGCCGCGUGAGUGAUGAAGGCUUUCGGGUCGUAAAACUCUGUUGUUAGGGAAGAACAAGUGCUAGUUGAAUAAGCUGGCACCUUGACGGUACCUAACCAGAAAGCCACGGCUAACUACGUGCCAGCCGCCGCGGUAA
rnacentral:rRNA from 1 species